GACGAACGCUGGCGGCGUGCUUAACACAUGCAAGUCGAGCGGUAAGGCCCUUUCGGGGGUACGACGAGCGGCGAACGGGUGAGUAACACGUGGGUGACCUGCCCUCAGCUCUGGGAUAAGCCUGGGAAACUGGGUCUAAUACUGGAUAUGACUCCACGGUGCAUGUCGUGGGGUGGAAAGCCUUGUGCGGCUGAGGAUGGGCCCGCGGCCUAUCAGCUUGCUGGUGGGGUGAUGGCCUACCAAGGCGACGACGGGUAGCCGGCCUGAGAGGGCGACCGGCCACACUGGGACUGAGACACGGCCCAGACUCCUACGGGAGGCAGCAGUGGGGAAUCUUGCGCAAUGGGCGAAAGCCUGACGCAGCGACGCCGCGUGAGGGAUGACGGCCU
rnacentral:rRNA from 1 species